rnacentral:rRNA from 1 species
GUACACGCUGUGACUAGCAUAUCAAUAAGCGGAGGAAAAGAAACUAACAAGGAUUCCCCUAGUAACGGCGAGUGAAGCGGGAAGAGCUCAAAUUUGAAAUCUUCAAGGUUUUACCUUGACGAAUUGUAGUUUAAAGAAGUGUUUUCUGUUGAGGUUUUGGUAAAAGUUCUUUGGAAUAGGACAUCAUAGAGGGUGAGAAUCCCGUAUUUGACCUUUACAUUCAACUUUGUGAUACACUUUCAAAGAGUCGGAUUGUUUGGGAAUGCAGUCCAAAAUGGGUGGUAAAUUUCAUCUAAAGCUAAAUAUUGGCGAGAGACCGAUAGCGAACAAGUACCGUGAGGGAAAGAUGAAAAGAACUUUGAAAAGAGAGUUAAACAGUACGUGAAAUUGUCAAAAGGGAAGCGUUUGACACCAGUGUUGUCUUUCUGAAAAUCAAUUAAAGAACUGUUUAUGCUAAGCUGUUUAGACUUUAUCAGCUAACUGUUUAGUUUUGAGCUUUUCUUUAAUGCACUUUUCAGUUAACAAGUCAACAUCAAUUUCCUUUGCUGUAAAAAAGCUUGAGGAAGGUGGCUUGAGAUUCGUCUUAAGUGUUUAUAGCCUCUUGCCUAUGCAGUCGGAGAGAUUGAGGUCUGCAGCGUAGAUCCUUCGGGGCUAAAUGCAUUUGUGCUAAGUUAUAGCAUUUUAUAGACAACUUGUUGACUAUGAUUUGUCUUGUAGCUUACUCGCUUAUGUUAUUUUACCCACGCUUAGGAUGUUGAAGUCAUCGUAUCGCGC